rnacentral:rRNA from 1 species
UAGGGAAUCUUCGGCAAUGGACGGAAGUCUGACCGAGCAACGCCGCGUGAGUGAAGAAGGUUUUCGGAUCGUAAAGCUCUGUUGUAAGAGAAGAACGAGUGUGAGAGUGGAAAGUUCACACUGUGACGGUAUCUUACCAGAAAGGGACGGCUAACUACGUGCCAGCAGCCGCGGUAAUACGUAGGUCCCGAGCGUUGUCCGGAUUUAUUGGGCGUAAAGCGAGCGCAGGCGGUUGGAUAAGUCUGAAGUUAAAGGCUGUGGCUUAACCAUAGUACGCUUUGGAAACUGUUUAACUUGAGUGCAAGAGGGGAGAGUGGAAUUCCAUGUGUAGCGGUGAAAUGCGUAGAUAUAUGGAGGAACACCGGUGGCGAAAGCGGCUCUCUGGCUUGUAACUGACGCUGAGGCUCGAAAGCGUGGGGAGCAAACAGGAUUAGAUACCCUGGUAGUCCACGCCGUAAACGAUGAGUGCUAGGUGUUAGACCCUUUCCGGGGUUUAGUGCCGCAGCUAACGCAUUAAGCACUCCGCCUGGGGAGUACGACCGCAAGGUUG